UUCUUAUAGAGCAUCUGCUUCUGGACGCCAACCUUUUCAAGGUGUUGAUGUUUUGGGUUUGAAGAAGCGUGGCCAAGGACUGCGGUCUUGGAUUCGUGUUGAUUCAUCUGGGAACUCGCAGGUUAUUGAGGUUGACAAGUUUACUAUUAUGCGUCGUUGUGAUCUACCUGCUCGUGAUCUACGAUUGCUGGAUCCUCUGUUUGUUUACCCUUCAACAAUUCUUGGUAGAGAGAAGGCCAUAGUUGUGAAUUUGGAGCAGAUUCGAUGUAUUAUUACUGCUGAUGAGGUUCUGCUCCUAAAUUCCCUUGACAGCUAUGUCUUGCAGUAUGUGGUGGAGCUACAACGUCGGUUGCAAACAGCUGGAGUAGGUGAGGUUUGGCAGUCAGAAGGUGCUGAAUUGAAUAGAAGGAGAAGUAGGAAUUUCGAUAAUGUAUUUGGGAACCCAUCCCCUGAUUAUUUGCCCUUUGAGUUUAGGGCCCUUGAAGUUGCUUUGGAAGCUGCCUGUACUUUCCUUGAUUCUCAGGUGUGUAAAAGUGAAUGUGAAAUCUGUAGUAUGUUUAAUAUGGAUGGCGCAAGCCUUGUGAAAUAUAUGUAUUGCUACUGUCUUUGUGAUUUAUUUAUUACUGUCUAUUGGGCCAUCCAACCAUAAUUUAAACGAAUUAGGCAUGGUUGCAUAUAAUUUCUGAAUACUAGGAGGUAUAUCUUGUUUCUCGUUGUAGCUGUUUUACAACCUCACUGAUGCUUAACAAAUGUGUGCAUUUCUGGUAUAGCUGCAUCUCUGUAUAUUAUAUUUGUAUUAUCUGCAGAUUUUUUUUUUCCUCUAAAAGAACAAGAUUUAACUUGUUAUUCAUGGAUUCUUUAGCCAUUUGUCUAUACUAUUGACAAACAUUAUAAGAAAGUCUUCUUUUCGAAACCAUGUUAUCACUUCUCAUUUGUUUGCUACUAUUGCUAGUUAUUUGAUUGCUAAUAUACAUUUUGAGCACAUGGAAACCUAAGGACAAUUGCUUGGUGCAGUCGUGAAUGUUUUUGACUUGCAACUAUGAGGGUGUAGAUUCAAGUUUUGAGAGCAACAUUUCAUGCAAUAUUGAUGGGUUCUUCAUAUUUUCCCUCUGUAUCCUACUUUUGAAUUUGGGAUCAUAACUAGCUAAUGGAAACUAGUUAGUUUGUUACCUUGUCCAUGAUGUCAUACUGUCAUCUAUUACGUGGGUAUGGCAAGAAAUUCGUAGUUUAUUAAGAUAGUCUCUUAACUUUUCCUUAAUUGGCUUGACAGUAUUAGUAAAAGCUUGCCUUUUGAUUUUUCAUUGACAAUAUGAUGAGUGACCUCCUUAUAAAAGUGUGUUCAUAUUUGGGAAUGUAAUGGAAAAUUAAAAAGCAUAAUUGAUUGACAGUUUGAUCAGAGGAAAAUGUUUUUGGGAUAAAUACAAAUUGAAACAUGGGCUGUUAUGUGACAGAGGCUGUCUGUUAUAAACUAACCUUUUGAGUACUCACUUAUGACACUGCAUAAUACAAAAUCUAGGUUGACUGGAUAUAGUACUUUAUUUUUCCAUGUUUACUCGGAUCAAGUGAUCACAUGAAUGUUCUUUUUUAAAUUGAGUGCUUUUUUUUCUUUUUUCAGUAUGUUGUAAGAUAUUUAGGGUUUGAAGCAUACCUUGUUGAUUAAAUUCAUCUUAAAAAUAUAGAUGCUUAUAGUAUUUUAAAGCGAAUAAUAUACCCAAAGGAAAAGUUAAAUUUCAAACUCUUAUGGAGCUAACACGUAUCAGGCCUGUAAUGAUAACAAAGGUUCAAGUUAUUUUGUUUACAACUUUAGACUGUCUUAGUGACAAUGUUAUUGUGGACCAGUAAUGUCAUUGUCACUUUCUUUUCCCCUGUUUUUCUAAGGAUGAUAUCAACUAAUCUCAGAAAGUCUCAGCCUUAAUGAGUUAGAUUUUGUAUCAUGAACAGCACAAAUAAAAAUGAACAAUUCUAGAAUUAUAGCAGCCAACCCUUCUGGUCUUUCUCUAGUUUACGUGCAUGAUGAUUUGGAUAGUUGAUUGGUUGUAUCUUGCGAGUCACUUUUUAACUUGUAGCUCACAUUAUCUUUGUAAAAGAGGAAAAAUGGACCAACAAUACAUUAGUAGCCUUAUGUCUCUUGUGAUAGUGAUGUUAUUAACUUAAAAUCACCUUUGUCUUUUGUACAUGAGGUCAGUUACAUGAGUUCUGUUUGCUCUUUAUGUCUGUCACUUUACAUAUUUAGUAGUAAUUGAUUGAAUCUGAAGUUGUCUUGAACAGUACUGUAAGUUUCAUAAUUAUUUUAGUUAAUUGAAAUUGCUCGAUUGAAUAGGGGAAAAAGUUUAUGUAUUUGGAUAUUGCUUUCAUACUCAUCCAGUGCCUUGUUGUCUAUAUUUUGCACAAUUUUUCUUAUUUCAUUUGUAAUUGUUGGAUGAUCAAUUAUGACAAGCUCUGGGCUAUGCUAAGGUAUUCUAGUUUGUUCUGGUUAAGUUUGUUAACUUAAGCAAGUUAGUAAGUCACUGAAACUUUGCUAUAUCCCAAGGCAGCAGAAUUAGAAAUUGAAGCAUACCCAUUAUUGGAUGAACUAACAUCAAAGAUCAGUACAUUAAAUUUGGAACGUGUCCGUCGAUUGAAAAGCAGACUUGUGGCCUUGACCCGGAGAGUUCAGAAGGUUAGGGAUGAAAUAGAGCAGCUCAUGGAUGAUGACGGAGAUAUGGCUGAAAUGUAUCUCACUGAAAAGAAAAGGCGGAUGGAGUCAUCAUUCUAUGGUGAUCAGUCUUUGAUGGGAUUUAGAUCAAAUGAUGGUGGGCUAUCUGCUUCUGCUCCAGUUUCUCCUGUUUCUUCACCUCCCGAGUCCCGGAGGCUUGAGAAAAGCUUGAGCAUUGCAAGGAGUCGGCAUGAGAGCAUGAGGAGUACAGAAAGUUCUACAGAGAGUAUAGAGCAGUUGGAGAUGUUGCUGGAGGCAUACUUUGUUGUCAUUGAUAGCACCCUAAACAAGUUAACAUCGGUAAAAACGGCAGCUAUUAUUUUUAGUUCCAAUUUAUCAUUUCUUGUAUAGGAUGGACACAAUUAAUAUAUGUCAUAUUACUUAUUUCAGUUGAAAGAGUACAUUGAUGACACAGAGGAUUUCAUCAACAUUCAGCUGGUACACAUUCCUCUUCCACCCGCUCCUGUCUCCGUAAUAUGUACAUGUCAAUUUAUCAGUAAUUUAGGAAGCACAAUUCCAAUUCCAAGACAAGUAACUCCUCUAAAUUAUUAAGGUGUAGCACAAUUAGUGGGAAUGAUGCACAGGAGAAAUUACAAGAAGUGGCUAUUUAUUGUUGCACAUUAUAUAGCGAUGGAAGAGUUACAGAAAGUCCUAGACUCCAAUGGCUAUUUUUAACAUAACCAUUCAUGCUAUCAAUAGUACUCCCUUUCAAAUGUGAAGUCAAUUUAUUCAGCUGCUUUCAAAUGAUCAAUCCUUAUGGAUGGCGGAACACAAAGAUAUUGGAUUAUAUUCUCUUUGCUUCAUCAUUUGGUUCUGUCAAUAUAGAAACUAGUCGAGUUGGUGCAAUUUUAUGACUCAUCAGAAAUUUUUGAUUGCAGGAUAAUGUCCGAAACCAACUUAUCCAAUUUGAGCUUCUACUCACAACAGCAACCUUUGUUGUUGCCAUCUUUGGAGUUGUAGCAGGUAUCUUUGGCAUGAAUUUUGAUAUAUCAUUAUUUGAGGACCCAGGUGCAUUUAAGUGGGUCCUCAUUAUUACUGGAGUAGCUGGAAUCUCCAUAUUUUGUGCAUUUGUAUGGUUCUUCAAGUACAGAAGACUUAUGCCGCUAUAGAAUUAUUAGGAAAUUGCAAGUAGACGUUAAGAUUAUACUCAACCAAUUGCUUCUAUUAAUUACCUCUGUACUCUGUAUAUGAAAUGAAAGAUAUAAAAUGGAAAAAUGGC
rnacentral:misc_RNA from 1 species